UGCAGUCGCACGGGCAGCAAUGUCAGUGGCGGACGGGUGAGUACCGCGUAGGAAUGUGUCCAGAGGUGGGGGACAACCUUGGGAAACUGAGGCUAAUACCGCAUAUGAGCUGAGGCUCAAAGCAGCGAUGCGCCUUUGGAGUAGCCUGCGUCCGAUUAGCUAGUUGGUGGGGUAAAGGCCUACCAAGGCGACGAUCGGUAGCUGGUCUGAGAGGACGACCAGCCACACUGGGACUGAGACACGGCCCAGACUCCUACGGGAGGCAGCAGUGGGGAAUAUUGGACAAUGGGCGCAAGCCUGAUCCAGCAAUGCCGCGUGUGUGAAGAAGGUCUUCGGAUCGUAAAGCACUUUCGACGGGGACGAUGAUGACGGUACCCGUAGAAGAAGCCCCGGCUAACUUCGUGCCAGCAGCCGCGGUAAUACGAAGGGGGCUAGCGUUACUCGGAAUUACUGGGCGUAAAGGGCGCGUAGGCGGCGCUCCAAGUUAGGCGUGAAAGUCCUGGGCUCAACCUGGGAACUGCGCUUAAGACUGGAGUGCUUGAGGAUGGAAGAGGGUCGUGGAAUUCCCAGUGUAGAGGUGAAAUUCGUAGAUAUUGGGAAGAACACCGGUGGCGAAGGCGGCGACCUGGUCCAUUACUGACGCUGAGGCGCGACAGCGUG
rnacentral:rRNA from 1 species